ACGAACGCUGGCGGCGGGCUUAACACAUGCAAGUCGAACGGAAAGGCCCUGCUUUUGUGGGGUGCUCGAGUGGCGAACGGGUGAGUAACACGUGAGUUACCUGCCCUUGACUUUUGGAUUACUUCAGGAAACUGGGGCUAAUACCGGAUAGGAGCUCCUGCUGCAUGGUGGGGUUUGAAAGUUUCGGCGGUUGGGGAUGGACUCGCGGCUUAUCAGCUUGUUGGUGGGGGAGUGGCUUACCAAGGCUUUGACGGGGAGCCGGCCUGAGAGGGUGACCGGCCACAUUGGGACUGAGAUACGGCCCAGACUCCUACGGGAGGCAGCAGUGGGGAAUAUUGCACAAUGGGCGGAAGCCUGAUGCAGCAACGCCGCGUGCGGGAUGACGGCCUUCGGGUUGUAAACCGCUUUCGCCUGUGACGAAGCGUGAGUGACGGUAAUGGGUAAAGAAGCACCGGCUAACUACGUG
rnacentral:rRNA from 1 species